AUUGAACGCUGGCGGCAGGCCUAACACAUGCAAGUCGAGCGAGCGGUGGACGGGUGAGUAUUGUUUCGGGUCUGCCCGAUAGUGGGGGUUAAUACUGGCAACGGUAGCUAAUACCGCACCCUAUCGGAUUACCCAUAUGGGAUUGGCGAGUUGGUGAGUUAAUGGCUCACCAAGGCGACGAUCUCUAGCUGGUCUGAGAGGAUGAUCAGCCACACUGGGACUGAGACACGGCCCAGACUCCUACGGGAGGCAGCAGUGGGGAAUAUUGCACAAUGGGCGCAAGCCGGAUGCAGCCAUGCCGGGUGUAUGAAGAAGGCCCUAGGGUUGUAAAGUACUUUCAGUCGGAGGCGUUACUACAGAAGAAGCACCGGCUAACUCCGUGCCAGCCGCCGCGGUAAUAC
rnacentral:rRNA from 1 species